UACGAAGGGGGCUAGCGUUGUUCGGAAUUACUGGGCGUAAAGGGCGCGUAGGCGGCGUGUCAAGUCAGGCGUGAAAGCCCCGGGCUCAACCUGGGAACCGCGCUUGAGACUGGCAUGCUCGAGUUCGGGAGAGGAUGGUGGAAAUUCCCAGUGUAGAGGUGAAAUUCGUAGAUAUGGGGAGGAACACCGGUGGCGAAGGCGGCCACCUGGACGGUAACUGACGCUGAGACGCGAAAGCGUGGGGAGCAAACAGG
rnacentral:rRNA from 1 species